UUAAAGGACGCUGUAAGUUAUAUUCAAAACCUGUUCUGUGAACAUUGAAGUUAUAUGCUGAUUUGGACUAAGAAGUUAAAAAAUUGUUAUUAGAUUUUUAAAAUGUCACAGAAAAAUCAAAGCAUGUUAAUCAAAUUGCUUAUGACAUGACAUCUACGACAAAUGAAAUAAUGCAGAUCAAUAUCCUAUGUUAGGCAAUUGCUAUAAGAAAGAUCUUGUAAGCAUAUUUGCAUUAUACCUAAGUUGUUUAGCAGAUUUUUUGUUUAUGGCAUCGUAUUUUACUCAGAUAUAUAUUCAUUUUACACAUGCCUCUUAUGAAGAAACCAUACAGUAUUAAUUGCAGAAUUACAAUAUACUUAAUUUUUGUGGUAGUUUGAUGGCAUUGUGCUGAAAUACGCUGUUUAUCUUUCUGAUUUUAUUCAACCUCCCAAAUAUAAAUAAACAAUGAUCUACCUUUCUACAAGCAAACUGAAUGAUGCUUUUUAUUACAGCGUUUUAGAUACCAGUUCUGAUUACUUUUAAGGCUAGCUAGCUAGCUAGCAAAUAGGUGUUUUGCUUUGCUGAAAUUUAGAGGAAUCUUGACAGUAAGUAAUCAUCUCUUUAUACUAAAUAACCAGAAAAUACAAAUGCUUGUGAGUAAUAAGUGAGAGGAAUGUGAAGUUGGCUUCUGUUUGCCAACAGAAUGUCACUGAGUAGGCAGCCCUUCUAAAAAUAUCUUUAAAAACAAGACAUUUGAAUUAAUGAGGUACUUGAAGAAGAGAGGCUCAAUAGUACACCUACUCAGUAUCUUCAGAUAUUACUUAGGUGACAUUUGCUCUAGAGAUUGAGGACUACAGCUGAUCUACUCUUUUGACUUCCAGGAUAUAUGUACAGUAUUUAGUGAACAAUUCAAAGAGUGAUUGAUGGCCCAAGAGUUCUUUGCUGUAAUGCUACAUGCCCUAUGACUCCUAAUUUCUGAAGUCUGUCUGGCUUCAGGAGUUUCAUUCUAGGCUAAGACGUUAUUAGAGUUAUCUUGAAGUGGUUCGAUGUGAAAUCAGAAUAUUUCUGAGAUGCAUACACAGUAGACCUAAGGUAAAUUUAUUUUUAAAUUGAAGUCACUGGAUCAUUCCCUAAAGAAGGAAUUUCUGUUCCAUGAUCCCAUCACUUCUUUCCAAAUCUAAAAUAGUUAGAAUAUACAAUCAUACAAAUAGAUACAUUGACCUCAUCUACAAUCUGAAUAGAGUAUGCAGACCAAGACUCUUCUCCUAAUCACACCAGACAAAGUACUGCCCAAAAGCAUUGUACACUGAAUAUGAGAUAUCUGUAAGCAAUUGUGGUAGACAUUGUAACUGUUGCUCAUUGAAUGAUUUGGGGAGAUACAUUCUGAAUUUUUCAUCUCUAUUGUACAUACGCAAAUGACAGCGGUACUUGAAGAACAAGAAACUCUGACAGGUAAGAUAGACAUCUAGUUCUAACCGCAACAAACCAUGAAGCUGACUUCAGGUUCCCAGACUGGAUUUUUUUUUCCAAGUAAUUUGAGUUCUCCCAUUCUUUCUUCUCUAUAUCUAUACUUCCUAUAGCCACUGUGCAGAAUGUACAGAUGUUUCAAAAAGGCAGUGUAAAAUGAUCUGUUUGACUGUACUACGCAGAGAAACUAAGUCAGGGCUAGUGCCUUGCUUUCUAAAGUCAACAUCGAUGUUCUGUAGGAGCUGUACAAGUAUUCCUCUGUCUAGGUCUGGUUUUCCUCAUUUACACAGUAAAUUUAUACCUGUUGCUUUGGACUGCAUGCAGCUGCUGAUGGAACCAUUGUUCUAAAUUUUCUUUCUCUCUCAUUUAUCACUAGAUGGCAGGAGAUACACCUCUGAAAAGGAUGAACAGUAUUACAAGCUUAACCUGGAGGACUUCAGUGCAUUUUUUAAAAGCUGUGUUCAACACCACUGAACAUUCUGAAAAUCAGAAGAUUUAAAGCCCAAAACAUGGGCAUUAGAUGUUUGGAAUAAAACAAAGCUUUUCUUUACUUGCUACAAACAUCUCAUCCUGAGAAACAAUAAUAAAAAUUGUAACUGAAUGUUAAUACUGCAAAUGUCACAGUGUAAGUCUCUUUAAGGAUGUGCAUGUGUUAUAUCAGCUUGUUCCAAGAGAAAUCUUCAUUAUACUUACAUUUGAAAGUUAAUAAAACUAAAUGCUUACU
rnacentral:lncRNA from 7 species